rnacentral:rRNA from 1 species
UACGAAGGGGGCUAGCGUUGCUCGGAAUCACUGGGCGUAAAGGGCGCGUAGGCGGCGUUUUAAGUCGGGGGUGAAAGCCUGUGGCUAACCACAGAAUGGCCUUCGAUACUGGGACGCUUGAGUAUGGUAGAGGUUGGUGGAACUGCGAGUGUAGAGGUGAAAUUCGUAGAUAUUCGCAAGAACACCGGUGGCGAAGGCGGCCAACUGGACCAUUACUGACGCUGAGGCGCGAAAGCGUGGGGAGCAAACAGG